rnacentral:rRNA from 1 species
CCUACGGGAGGCAGCAGUGGGGGAUAUUGCACAAUGGGGGGAACCCUGAUGCAGCGACGCCGCGUGGGUGAAGGAGCGUUUCGGCGCGUUAAGCCCUAUCGGCUGGGAAGAAGAUGACGGUACCUGACCAAGAAGCCCCGGCUAACUACGAGCCAGCCGCCGCGGUAAUACGUAGGGGGCAAGCGUUAUCCGGAUUUACUGGGUGUAAGGGGGGCGCAGACGGGAAUGCAAGCCAGGAGUGAAAGCCCGGGGCCCAACCCCGGGAGUGCACUUGGAACUGCAUGGCUGGAGUACAGACGGGGCAGGCGGAAUUCCUGGUGUAGCGGUGAAAUGCGUAGAUAGUAGGAAGAACACCGAGGGCGAAGGCAGCCUGCUGGACUGUGACUGACGUUGAGGCCCGAAGGCGUGGGGAGCAAACAGGAUUAGAUACCCCGGUAGUC